AUGUUCGACGCCGCACCGGCGCUCACCAGCCUAACCCUGGUGAACGUCAAGCAAAGGGCGGCGAAGCCACCGGGUUCUGACGAGAGAUUCUACAACUUGGAGUACUUCAUGCUGCCAUUCCGCCUCCGAUACCCGACGGUCAACGCCUUGGUACUCGUGACCUAUGUCGCCAAGAAGGAGAUCAAGGCGUCCGCCGCUGGCGGUAGUGGCAUCGAACCCGACAUGCCCAACCUCCGCUUCUUCUGGUUCCAGGGAUACCCCAUUCAGCUCUCGCUCACAUCGCCGGCGCCGGGGCUCGCGCGAGUCGAUUUCGAUGUGGCUCACCGCCAUCAGGGUGGCUGUGAGAUCUUGAAUUACGAACCGUUGUCCGGCAUGAUCGCCAGCUUCUCCAGCACGAGAGCCCUCAAGGUGCGUCUCGGGUGCAUCGAGGACAUCGUGGCCGACGAGGAUGGGGACGCCGGGCUCCUGGAACUAGACGGAGAGUACCAGUACAUGAACAACGACACGGCGGCAGCAACGGCGAGGCUGCUCCGCUCCUGCCCGGUGAUGUCUGAGCUCCGGCUCAGGUUGGCCAUGCGGUACAACUACUGGUAUGACCGCAAGCACGAGGACCCAGUCAGGGGGCCCUUCGGCGAGUCCAUGGACAGGUUUGAGAGGCUCGCGUGCAGGUCGUCGGCCGUGGACCUCGGCGGGGUGUCGGAGCUCCCGGACCCCUUGACCAACAACUGCGCGUUCUGCUGUCUGCAGACGAGCCUCCGGAACGUGACGUUGCCGUUCAAGGCCAAGGAGGUGAACUGCUUCCCGGUGCAGCUCGCCAAGUUCCUCGCGGAGAACGCCAUGGUGCUCGAGGAAAUGCACGUCGAGGACGGCAACCAGUUCUGGACGGACCACCUGUGCCACAAGGUUGGGAUGUGGAGAGCCGAGUCAUUCCGGAGGAAGAACCUGCCGGACACGGCCGCCGGCUUUCGGGUGUGCCAGCUGCUGAUGGAUAAACCCGUGUGA
rnacentral:rRNA from 1 species